AGCGCGCGCCUGAUAAGCGCGAGGUCGGUAGUUCGAUUCUACUCGGGCCCACCAUUUCCACGCCCUGCGGCACGGACCGCCGGACAUCAGGCCCGAAAGGGUCGAUACCGGCGAGAUCCCGGGCGCAAUAGCGCCCACCGUGGGGAUGUAGCUCAGUUGGGAGAGCGCGGGCUUUGCAAGCCUGAGGUCGUCGGUUCGAUCCCGAUCAUCUCCACCAACGAGAUGGAGCCGGGCGCGACCCGGACCCAAGACAGCGCCAAGCGUCGGCGGGGUGUGUAGCAGCCCGCACGACGAUGCGAUAAGCGGAGGCGGAAACCAGCAGGUGCCGCCAUCGCGGUGCAGCCGCCACAAGCGGUUGUACCUGAAUGGUCUAUGACAGUUGAAUGCAAGGGUAACCGAGAAAAGAAAUACAAGGCACGAGCAGCGAUUCGUGCGGCGGCACAAUGCCGCCGGGGAAAACGGCCCAUGCGUUUUCCACUCAGGAUCGCUGCCCGGUAGCGCUUAGAAUAGCUUAUAACCGUUGCCCGGACGCGCAGCAUACGCGGCGCUUUCGAAACGACGGUUAAUUUGGUUUUCGGCCAAGCUACUAAGGGCAUGCGGUGGAUGCCUUGGCACCAAGAGGCGACGAAGGACGUAGCUACCUGCGAUAAGCCACGGUGAGCUGGAAGCAAGCUGACCCGUGGAUCU
rnacentral:misc_RNA from 1 species